rnacentral:rRNA from 1 species
AUUGAACGCUGGCGGCAGGCCUAACACAUGCAAGUCGAGCGGAUGAAGGGAGCUUGCUCCUGGAUUCAGCGGCGGACGGGUGUGUAAUGCCUAGGAAUCUGCCUUGUAGUGUUGUAUAACGUCCGUAAACGGGCGCUAAUACCUCAUACGUCCUGAGGUAGAACGUGGGGGAUCUUCGGACCUCACGCUAUCAGAUGAGCCUAGGUCGGAUUAGCUAGUUGGUGGGGUAAAGGCCUACCAAGGCGACGAUCCGUAACUGGUCUGAGAGGAUGAUCAGUCACACUGGAACGGAGAAACGGUCCAGACUCCGACGGGAGGCAGCAGUGGGGAAUAUUGGACAAUGGGGGAAAGCAUGAUACAGCCAUGCCGCGUGUGUGAAGAAGGUGUUCGGAUUGUAAAGCACUUUAAGUUGGGAGGAAGGGCAGUAAGUUAAUACCUUGCUGUAUUGACGUUACCAAGAGAAAAAGCACCGGCUAACUUCGUG